rnacentral:rRNA from 1 species
AACGAACGCUGGCGGCAGGCUUAACACAUGCAAGUCGAACGCCCCGCAAGGGGAGUGGCAGACGGGUGAGUAACACGUGGGGAUCUGCCCAAUGGUACGGAAUAAUUCCGGGAAACUGGGACUAAUACCGUAUGUGCCCGCAAGGGGAAAGAUUUAUCGCCAUUGGAUGAACCCGCGUCGGAUUAGCUAGUUGGUGAGGUAAAGGCUCACCAAGGCGACGAUCCGUAGCUGGUCUGAGAGGAUGAUCAGCCACACUGGGACUGAGACACGGCCCAGACUCCUACGGGAGGCAGCAGUGGGGAAUAUUGGACAAUGGGCGCAAGCCUGAUCCAGCCAUGCCGCGUGAGUGAUGAAGGCCUUAGGGUUGUAAAGCUCUUUCAGUGGGGAAGAUAAUGACGGUACCCACAGAAGAAGCCCCGGCUAACUUCGUGCCAGCAGCCGCCGUAAUAC